GGCCUUCGGGUUGUAAACUUGCUUUUGUACGGAACGAAAAGGCCCUGGUGAACAACCGGGGUUGCUUGACGGUACCGUAAGAAUAAGCACCGGCUAACUACGUGCCAGCAGCCGCGGUAAUACGUAGGGUGCGAGCGUUAAUCGGAAUUACUGGGCGUAAAGCGUGCGCAGGCGGACAUGCAAGACAGAUGUGAAAUCCCCGGGCUCAACCUGGGAACUGCAUAUGUGACUGUAUGACUGGAGUACGGCAGAGGGGGAUGGAAUUCCGCGUGUAGCAGUGAAAUGCGUAGAUAUGCGGGAGGAACACCGAUGGCGAAGGCAAUCCCCUGGGCCAGUACUGACGCUCAUGCACGAAAGCGUGGGGAGCAAACAGGAUUAGAUACCCUGGUAGUCC
rnacentral:rRNA from 1 species